rnacentral:tRNA from 2 species
GCUCCCUUCGUCUAGUGGUUAGGACACUGGCCUCUCACGCCGGUAACAGGGGUUCGAAUCCCCUAGGGAGCGCCA